rnacentral:rRNA from 1 species
UACGGAGGAUCCAAGCGUUAUCCGGAUUUAUUGGGUUUAAAGGGUGCGUAGGCGGUUCGUACAGUCAGACGUGAAAUUCCCGGGCUCAACCUGGGGGCUGCGUUUGAUACGUGCGGACUUGAGUUCGGAAGAGGGUCGUGGAAUUCCCAGUGUAGAGGUGAAAUUCGUAGAUAUUGGGAAGAACACCGGUGGCGAAGGCGGCGACCUGGUCCGAUACUGACGCUGAGGCGCGAAAGCGUGGGGAGCAAACAGG